UUAGCUCCUGAUAUAUCCCGAUUGGAUAGGUCUGAUUUAAAGACUCUGGCAAACAUCCCUUUGUCUCUCGUAUAACUAGCAAUGCCUUUCAUAAAAUAUGCAUAGUCAAUAUUUGGAUGU
rnacentral:rRNA from 1 species